rnacentral:lncRNA from 1 species
GAAUAGCAUCUCGGAAAGUUUUUGUAAGGAUCCCAUGACAUUUAUCACAAGAAGCACUAAACACAGUGUCUUGCAGACAAUGACCUUGAGGUCCAUAGAGUCAUUAUUAUUGCCACUUAAUCAUCCUGAUAGCCAGUCUCUGAAACCAAGCUUUAAGUCAAAUGACAGUGAUGGAUAUUAAAACAUAAUGUCCCAAGUGAGUUCCAAGAGGCACGUCACCUACGCUGCAGGAGAUACUUCCACUGGAAACUAUACUUCACUCAUCCUGUCUUUUGCUUUUCCAGUGGGACAUUUCUGCUGAGUUCUCAGUAGCAGAAAACCAAAGGGAUACAGGUUGAUAUUUGUAUUUGUGCCCAGCUGCUUUGACCUGCUUACUCUAAGAAUUAGAGGGAUGAAACUCUAGGAAUUAGACCUUCAUGGAAGCUGGUCUUAUGUCAUUUAACAAUGGUAGGGCAAGUUAAGGGAUGGUUUUCAUGAAAUAAUUCAGAAAAAUUCCUGUUUUCUUCAGCAGGAAACACUCUGGCCCCAGAAAGAAGAUGUUCAUAUUUGCAACCUAGCUAUGUUGUUAAUAUUGUCAUACAUUUGAAAGUGUUAUUUUUCAAUUUCCCCAUGAUGCUUUUCUUAUACUAAAUAGUAUUCUCCCUACUCACCCUGCACAGGCUUUGGAGUAUAACAAUGAACUACUCACUGUAAACAAUUAAGAAAAUACAGAGAAGUAUAAAGAAGAAAAAUAACCACCCAUGAAUAUGUACAAUUAAGAUUUUGUUAUAGAUUCAUUUUUCAACAAUUAAUUCAUGUGCCUACCCUGUGCCCUCGUGAUUUUUCACUCUGUUAUACAUAUGUGUAUAUUUACAUAUUUAAUUUAAAUUAAAAAACUGGUAUGGCAGUGUUUAAUUUCAUAUCCUCUCUUUUUCAUUUAAGCCAGAGGCUCACAGGAUCAGCUUUUGACAAUAUCAUUUUUAGGACGUGCAUAACAAUUCAUCAGGUAUUCAGUUUCAAGGAUCUCACUCAGAGCUGGCCCUCUGUGAAUGUUGCUGAUAGGUGCCUGACUGCACAGAGCUGAUGGUGACAAAGGUAAACACCACAUUAAACACACACACACA